GGCGAACGGGUGAGUAACACGUGGGUGAUCUGCCCUGCACUUCGGGAUAAGCUUGGGAAACUGGGUCUAAUACCGGAUAGGAGCCAUCUUUAGUGUGGUGGUUGGAAAGUUUUUCGGUGUAGGAUGAGCUCGCGGCCUAUCAGCUUGUUGGUGGGGUAAUGGCCUACCAAGGCGGCGACGGGUAGCCGGCCUGAGAGGGUGGACGGCCACAUUGGGACUGAGAUACGGCCCAG
rnacentral:rRNA from 1 species